rnacentral:rRNA from 1 species
AGCGAACGCUGGCGGCAGGCCUAACACAUGCAAGUCGAACGAACCUUUCGGGGUUAGUGGCGGACGGGUGAGUAACACGUGGGAACGUGCCUUUAGGUUCGGAAUAACUCAGGGAAACUUGUGCUAAUACCGAAUGUGCCCUUCGGGGGAAAGAUUAAUCGCCUUUAGAGCGGCCCGCGUCUGAUUAGCUAGUUGGUUGAGGUAAUGGCUCACCAAGGCGACGAUCAGUAGCUGGUCUGAGAGGAUGAUCAGCCACAUUGGGACUGAGACACGGCCCAAACUCCUACGGGAGGCAGCAGUGGGGAAUCUUGCGCAAUGGGCGAAAGCCUGACGCAGCCAGGCCGCGUGAAUGAUGAAGGUCUUAGGAUUGUAAAAUUCUUUCACCGGGGACGAUAAGGACGGUACCCGGAGAAGAAGCCCCGGCGAACUUCGU